AGAGGAUUACACAACCAAAAACUAAAAUUUGUCCAUCGGUUGGACAAAUUUUGCAUAACGGUUGGACAAGGCUUACCUUUUGGUUGAGUCAUCCUCUUUUUUGCAGAAGCUCGAGUACUCGUGUAUGAAAUAACAAGUGUUAAAUUCCGUAAAAAAUCGUUGAACUGGGUGCCUAAUCAGUCAGGGUAGUAACAUCAUGCGCAAUCGCCUCAGUCCAAAGUUGAAUUCGAAAAGGAAGAAUCCGACGGAAGAUGUCAGUACGCCAACGCCAUAAAUUCCCAGAGCGGUGUAAACUUGGCCCAACUUAAUCGAGGUGAACGGCAUCGAACUAACUUUGCACGGUGACGCGUGUGGGAUCCACUUGGCACGAAGACGACGUCGAACCCCGGUUUCGUCAAGUUUUAAAAGUCUGGAAAUUUAAAUAUUAUUUAUAUUCAGAAAUUUAUUAUGAUUGAUUUUUAUUAAGUUUUGUAAAUUUAAAAGGGUUUAAAGCCCCAGACUGAACACAACUUCUGAAACACAAAAAUUUUCUGGCAUUGAAUCCAGAGUGUAUUAAAUUGGCGAAAUAACGCUGAAUUUUUGUUUCAUUUCAAAUUUUGAAUGCAAUUUUUUUGUACUUCGAAAUUUUUGUGUGGUUUUAAGAAGUUAAAAAAAUUAGUUUGCAUAGACAAAUUAUGCUCGAAGUUCUGAAAUAAAGUU